rnacentral:rRNA from 1 species
ACGGGAGGCAGCAGUGGGGAAUAUUGGGCAAUGGGCGAAAGCCUGACCCAGCAACGCCGCGUGAAGGAAGAAGGUCUUCGGAUUGUAAACUUCUUUUAUGAGGGACGAAGUACGUGACGGUACCUCAUGAAUAAGCAACGGCUAACUACGUGCCAGCAGCCGCGGUAAUACGUAGGUGGCAAGCGUUAUCCGGAUUUACUGGGUGUAAAGGGCGCGUAGGCGGGGAUGCAAGUCAGAUGUGAAAUCUAUGGGCUUAACUCAUAGACUGCAUUUGAAACUGUAUCUCUUGAGUGCUGGAGAGGUAGAUGGAAUUCCUUGUGUAGCGGUGAAAUGCGUAGAUAUAAGGAAGAACACCAGUGGCGAAGGCGAUCUACUGGACAGUAACUGACGCUGAGGCGCGAAAGCGUGGGGAUCAAACAGGAUUAGAUACCCUGGUA